UAUCUUGCUCUUCUUCUGAACUGGAAUCACUACUGGAUUCUUUUUUAAUUGCUUUAGGAGUAACAGGUUUAGCAGCUACAGGUUGUGGUUUGGCAGCUGGUUUCUUAGCUGGCUCCUCUUCUGAACUGAAAUCACUAUCAGAUGAAGAUUCUUUUUUGGCUGGUACUUUAGUUGCAGGUUUAACAGCUGGUUUCUUAGCUUGCUCU